GGCGUGCUUAACACAUGCAAGUCGAGCGGAAAGGCCCUUCGGGGUACUCGAGCGGCGAACGGGUGAGUAACACGUGAGUAAUCUGCCCUUGGCUUUGGGAUAACUACCGGAAACGGUGGCUAAUACCGGAUACGACACAGGUACGCAUGUGCUCUGUGUGGAAAGUUUUUUCGGCCAGGGAUGUGCUCGCGGCCUAUCAGCUUGUUGGUGGGGUAAUGGCCUACCAAGGCUUCGACGGGUAGCCGGCCUGAGAGGGUGACCGGCCACACUGGGACUGAGACACGGCCCAGACUCCUACGGGAGGCAGCAGUGGGGAAUAUUGGACAAUGGGCGGAAGCCUGAUCCAGCAACGCCGCGUGAGGGAUGACGGCCUUCGGGUUGUAAACCUCUUUCAGUACCGACGAAGCGCCGAUGAUGGUGGUGACGGUAGGUACAGAAGAAGCACCGGCCAACUACGUGCCAGCAGCCGCGGUAAUACGUAGGGUGCGAGC
rnacentral:rRNA from 1 species